CCGGUUAUCUUGCUCCUUUCAAAGAGCAGCGGUAUCAUGUUCCAGAUUUCCAAGGAUGGAGAGAAGCUCAUAUAUCUACGAGGAUAGCGCGUCUUUUUCAAGUGGACAUGCUUCUUCUUCAUCUGAUGGCGUCAUGGGUGCCCUACGACAAAGUAUUGCUGAAAGUUUGGUUGCUUGAGUGGUUAUUAUUGUACUUUCGGAUCCACUAAGACAUUUAUUUAUUUUAUUUCGCAUGUAAUAAACUAUGACACCUUGAUUUUAUUAUCAUCCGACUUUUCAUAA